ACGGGGGGCUGCCCUCGCCCCGUCUUUCGAUAGCGCGGCCCCCCGAGCUCUUUCUCGCCUAAUAAAGCGCAAAGGGGUCUUAGCGUGCCGUGGGGAUAGAACCGCUUUGGGGCUGUUCCCUGAGGGCCUUGGCAGUGUCUAGGGGGAGCGUGAGUAGGGCCCGAGGACAUGGAGAUGAGGAGCUUCGUUCUGUUCUGGAAGUAAAGGCAACAUCUACAAUGUAAAAUCCCUAUUCUUCACUAACAAACGGCAUGAACCUAAACAAAGCUUUGUGAAAGACUUUUCAUUUCUUUAAUCUCUUAAAUCCUCUCAAGCUCAGAAAAUAGAAACACGGGACCAGAAGGGAAAGAAAGGCAGCUCUGCCCUCAGCUGCAUUACAGCAAGCACCAUCUUCAGUUUCAUACAUUUCUCAGCCUCUAGGUUAAGCACAUGGACCUGUAUGCUGGAGCACUCACUGCAGAAACAGCAAUGAUAGAGAUUGUGGCACAACCAGAGAACAUGCUUCAGUGGAAAUUAAUAAACAGCAUCUGCUAACAGCAGAAAACCAAAGCUAAGGAAAGCUGACAUUACAGUAUUUGAAGGCCUUUUCAAAUGUGUUCUGGAGGCAGCCCAACUUCUCAACCAGUUGUGCUCAAGCCAGGCCAACACCCAGUGCUGCAAGAAUUAGCUGGUUUAGAAAGUUAAUUCCCAAUUUUAACACCUACGUAUUUCCACACGAUCUGUAUGUAAGGGAGCCCAGCUGAUAAUGAGACAAUAAGAGAUGUUAUCUGGGAAGAUCAGCUUUUCAUUGUUUGCUUUUGUUCAGUUAUUGUUGUUGUUGUUGUUUUUCCUUUUUUCAUUUGUUUCCCUGAAAAUAUAACCAGUUAAGAUGAGCUUCUGUACAAUUACAAAUAUAUUUUGUUUUGAUUUGAGUUAAUGAUCAGCUCCUAAAAAUAUUAAUCUUUGCCCUCUUUCAAGGAAGCUAACUAAAUUUACCUAGCUUUAGGUGCUUUGGUCACAUGUAUACUUCUACUGCUAGUCUUGGAGAUGGCACUGUACAAGCACUACAGUAAAAUUAAAAAAAA